UUAAAGGUAAGCUAAGAAAAGCUGUUGGGUUCAUACCUCGGAAAUGAAGAAAUUCCCUUUAUG
rnacentral:tRNA from 1 species